rnacentral:rRNA from 1 species
UACGGAGGGAGCGAACGUUGUUCGGAUUUACUGGGCGUAAAGGGUGUGUAGGCGGUCUUGCAAGUCAGGGGUGAAAUCUCUCGGCUCAACCGAGAAACUGCCUUUGAGACUGCAGGACUUGAGGGCGUGAGAGGAGACUGGAAUUCCUAGUGUAGCGGUGAAAUGCAUAGAUAUUAGGAGGAACACCAGUGGCGAAGGCGAGUCUCUGGCACGCAUCUGACGCUGAAACACGAAAGCCAGGGGAGCGAGCGGG